rnacentral:rRNA from 1 species
GAAAAAUUAGCGGAUGACCUGUGGCUGGGGGUGAAAGGCCAAUCAAACCGGGAGAUAGCUGGUUCUCCCCGAAAGCUAUUUAGGUAGCGCCUCGUGAAUUCAUCUCCGGGGGUAGAGCACUGUUUCGGCUAGGGGGCCAUCCCGGCUUACCAACCCGAUGCAAACUGCGAAUACCGGAGAAUGUUAUCACGGGAGACACACGGCGGGUGCUAACGUCCGUCGUGAAGAGGGAAACAACCCAGACCGCCAGCUAAGGUCCCAAAGUCAUGGUUAAGUGGGAAACGAUGUGGGAAGGCCCAGACAGCCAGGAUGUUGGCUUAGAAGCAGCCAUCAUUUAAAGAAAGCGUAAUAGCUCACUGGUCGAGUCGGCCUGCGCG